rnacentral:rRNA from 1 species
GACAAUGGGCGGAAGCCUGAUCCAGCCAUGCCGCGUGAAGGAAUAAGGUCCUAUGGGUCGUAAACUUCUUUUGACGCAGAGCAAUAAGGAACACGUGUGUUCCGAUGAGAGUAUGCGUCGAAUAAGCAUCGGCUAACUCCGUGCCAGCAGCCGCGGUAAUACGGAGGAUGCGAGCGUUAUCCGGAUUUAUUGGGUUUAAAGGGUGCGUAGGCUGUUGGAUAAGUCAGCGGUGAAAUCACCACGCUUAACGUGUUGUGUGCCGUUGAAACUGUCCAGCUUGAAUGCGCUCGUCGUGAGAGGAAUGUGUGGUGUAGCGGUGAAAUGCAUAGAUAUCACACAGAACACCGAUUGCGAAGGCAUCUCACGAGAGCGUUAUUGACGCUGAUGCACGAAAAGCGCGGGUAUCGAACAGGAUUAGAUACCCUGGUAGUCCGCGCUGUAAACGAUGAUGACUAACCGUUGGUCUGGUAUGGAUCAGUGGUCAAGCGAAAGCGUUAAGUCAUCCACCUGGGGGAGUACGGCCGCAAGGCUGAAACUCAAAGGAAUUGACGGGG